rnacentral:rRNA from 1 species
UACGUAGGGUGCGAGCGUUGUCCGGAAUUACUGGGCGUAAAGAGCUCGUAGGUGGUUUGUCGCGUUGUUCGUGAAAACUCACAGCUUAACUGUGGGCGUGCGGGCGAUACGGGCAGACUGGAGUACUGCAGGGGAGACUGGAAUCCUGGUGUAGCGGUGGAAUGCGCAGAUAUCAGGAGGAACGACCGGUGGCGAAGGCGGGUCUCUGGGCAGUGAACUGACGCUGAGGAGCGAAAGCGUGGGGAGCGAACAGG